rnacentral:rRNA from 1 species
GUCUAUGGCCGUACCACCCUGAACACACCCAAUCUCGUCUGAUCUUGGAAGCAAAGCAGGGUCGGGCCUGGUUAGUACUUGGAUGGGAGAAAGUUAUCAAUUUUGUGGAUU